UUCGCCCUUAGAGUUUGAUCCUGGCUCAGGACGAACGCUGGCGGCGUGCCUAACACAUGCAAGUCGAGCGGAGACAGUGAGUAGCUUGCUAUGAGCUGUUUUAGCGGCGGACGGGUGAGUAACGCGUGAGCAACCUUUCCCAGACAGGGGAAUAACACACCGAAAGGUGUACUAAUACCGCAUAAGACCACGGGAUCACAUGGUUCUGGGGUAAAAGAAUUAUCGGUUUGGGGUGGGCUCGCGUCCGAUUAGGUAGUUGGUGAGGUAACGGCCCACCAAGCCGACGAUCGGUAGCCGACCUGAGAGGGUGAUCGGCCACAUUGGGACUGAGACACGGCCCAAACUCCUACGGGAGGCAGCAGUGGGGAAUAUUGCACAAUGGGCGAAAGCCUGAUGCAGCAACGCCGCGUGAGGGAAGACGGUUUUCGGAUUGUAAACCUCUGUUUUCGGUGACGAACAAAUGACGGUAACCGAGUAGGAAGCCACGGCUAACUACGUGCCAGCAGCCGCGGUAAUACGUAGGGAGCAAGCGUUGUCCGGAUUUACUGGGUGUAAAGGGUGCGUAGGCGGCUUUGCAAGUCAGAUGUGAAAUCUAUGGGCUCAACCCAUAAACUGCAUUUGAAACUGUAGAGCUUGAGUGAAGUAGAGGCAGGCGGAAUUCCCCGUGUAGCGGUGAAAUGCGUAGCGAUGGGGAGGAACACCAGUGGCGAAGGCGGCCUGCUGGGCUUUAACUGACGCUGAGGCACGAAAGCGUGGGUAGCAAACAGGAUUAGAUACCCUGGUAGUCCACGCUGUAAACGAUGAUUACUAGGUGUUGGAGGAUUGACCCCUUCAGUGCCGCAGUUAACACAAUAAGUAAUCCACCUGGGGAGUACGACCGCAAGGUUGAAACUCAAAGGAAUUGACGGGGGCCCGCACAAGCAGUGGAGUAUGUGGUUUAAUUCGAAGCAACGCGAAGAACCUUACCAGGUCUUGACAUCCGAUGCAUAGCGCAGAGAUGCGUGAAGUCCUUCGGGACAUCGAGACAGGUGGUGCAUGGUUGUCGUCAGCUCGUGUCGUGAGAUGUUGGGUUAAGUCCCGCAACGAGCGCAACCCUUAUUGCCAGUUACUACGCAAGAGGACUCUGGCGAGACUGCCGUUGACAAAACGGAGGAAGGUGGGGAUGACGUCAAAUCAUCAUGCCCUUUAUGACCUGGGCUACACACGUACUACAAUGGCGUUAAACAAAGAGAAGCAAGACCGCGAGGUGGAGCAAAACUCAAAAAUAACGUCUCAGUUCGGAUUGUAGUCUGCAACUCGACUACAUGAAGCUGGAAUCGCUAGUAAUCGCGAAUCAGAAUGUCGCGGUGAAUACGUUCCCGGGUCUUGCACACACCGCCCGUCA
rnacentral:rRNA from 1 species